UUCAGUUUCUUUGUGUGUGUGUGUGUGUGUGUGUGUGUGUGUGUGUGUGUGUGUGUAGGGCACAUCUUGUGACAUGGGCUGUCUAUUCAAAUUCUGAGUGCUUCUCCAAGGGCUCUUUUGAAAUCUUACUCAUGAAAGGUGUGUCACAUGGCAGCUUCCAUACUGGAGGGCUUUCUGUCAGACCUCGAUGACAUCAAAUCACAGAGCAGGCCGUGGCACAAGACUUGUCAGGGUACAGUAGCCCUUUCUCUACUAAUAAGCUGAUUGCUUUCCAAACCCAAAGGAGUGGACUGAGCUGUUUGGACAAACAAUAGAAAACGAGCUGUGUCGACUUUUACCAUUGCCAUAUUUUGCACAGAAGACAGGUAUAUCUGUGCUGUCCCAUCAGUUUGGUUAGACAGGAAACACUUGCGACACGGGUGGUGUGAAAACCAACAAGGAGUCAGAGGACUUGACAGAAUGUCCUAGCUGGAGGUGGCCAGGAAACACGGGAUGGCUAUCAGAAUUGCUUCCUGGGAUGUCUUAGGUAGAAUAAUGGUUCCUCUUUUGCUACUGCAGUUACUGUUCCAAGGGUCUGAGGACUUUGGUUAUAGAUGGGACAGUUUCAUUGUUUCACAGGAGGAGAGAGUCCUUUUCCCCUCGACUCAGGGCUUGAUGAAGACCGCUAGAGUGGGGCUUUAAGAGCCCUCUAAAUCAGGUCAAAUAUGUCUGUCUUAAACCUUGAGUAGCUGUUUCUGGGAGGAAAGCCCAGCCUGGCUAGCUUCUGAGCUUUCAGAAACACCUUUAACUUCAUGGUUUGUGUUUUUCCUUAGUCUUUCCCUUGACAUGCCUUUCUUUUCGCUUCACUCCUGCCUGGACCCCAGGAAGCAUGCAUGUCACAUGACUGACACUGGAUUACUGAGGUGUUUGUGGCAGCCCCGUCCCUUCAUUUAUGUUCUGUUAAGGGAUGACUCAAAUAACAAAGACCACAGAUGUAUAAAUACAAUGCGUAUAAGAAGAAUAGACAUCUGAUAUAUUUAGGAUUUAUUCCUUUGCAUUGGGGUCUGGCCUGCAUGUCUGUGAAGAUGCCAGAUCCUCUGUACCUGGAGUUACAGUUGUGAGCUGCCAAUGUGGGUGCUGGGAAUUAGACUUGGGUCCUUCUGAGAGAGCAACCAGUGCUCUUAACCUUUGAGCCACCUCUCCAGCCCAGCCCCAUGGACAUCCAGUAUAUUAUAAGACAGUGAAAAGUAGACAAGGAUUCCCUAAAAAUGUUUGGCUGAUUGUUGGGAGAGGCUUUGGUUUUAUUUUUAUUUUUUAUUUGAGUCUUCGGGGUUUACACUGUCAUGUGUGAUACUUUUUUUUUUUUUUUAAUUUGAAAGUUUUGUAUCUGCAUGUAAAGAAUUUAGGUUAUUUUCGUCUCCCAUUUGUUUCUCCUAUCUUCCUCCCUCUUAUCCCUCUCCCUUUCCAGUUGAAAUCCCUCCCCAUUCCUUUUUCUCAUCCCAUCACUUCUCCCUCAGAAACCCUUCUCUUUAAUAAGUUUCCUUCCUACUUUUUUUUUAAAUAUACAAUUUAUUUAACUUUAUUUUAUGUGCAUUGAUGUGAGGGUGUCAGAUCACCUGGAACUGGAGGUACAGACAGUUGUGAGCUGCCAUGUGGGUGCUGGGAGUUGAACCUGGGUCCUUUGGAAGAACCGACAGUGCUCUUAACCACUGAGCCAUCUCUCCAGCCCCUCCUUCCUACUUUUAUCUAUUUAUUUAUUGUUUUAUUUUUGACCUACUGAGUUUAGCUGUGUGAUUCCUUGUAUGAGCCUGGGGGUUAAUUUUCUGGAGCAUUGGCAGCACUCUGAAGAAAGUGACUUCCUCUUAAGUAGCAGCCAGCAACAGCAAAGCCCACAGGGAAUGGUGGGGACUCCUGACCCUUCCCUCUCUGUGAGUAGAAGGUGGUUUUCAUCUGAUGGUUUCCAGGGUGAGUGAGAGGUCAUUGUGGAUAGAGCCAUGAAAGAGCUAUCUAGGCCUACGGGAUAGCACCUGCAAAGAUCCUGUGGCAGAGUGAGCAUCUUUAGGGAGACAGCGCCUUGGGCACUCCCCACCCCCAACACACACAUAUCACAGACUUUCUCUUUUUACCAGAAUCAUCUUUAGUUGGUGUAUUAGUUCUUCUCAGCAGUGGGAUCAAAUAACUGACAAAACAUGCUAAGGUAAGAAUUACUUAUCUGCACCCACAGUUUUAGGGGGUUUGAUGCAUGGUCAUUUGAUUCCAACUUUCUGGACUCGCUGUAAGGCAGAAUGCCAAGGCAGGUGGGAACAUACGGUGGAGAAGAUUCUUCAUAGCAGGUAGGUAGCAAGGAAAAGGUGCAUAGAAGAGAGGGCCAGGGCAGGUUACAACCCACAGGGAUACACUGCCAGUGACAUUCUUUCCCCACUGAAGCCCCACCCCUCUAUUAUGUUAGGUGUCUGAAGACUUGGCUGUCUGUGGAGAGAUCCUGACAGAUACCCAGUAGGGGUGCUUUAGUCAUUUCAUGACUGAUUGCUAAUGCAGUCACACCACCAGCCAGCCAAGCUUCCUCACUGCAGUUGACUGCUGCAUUUAACUCCCCCCUCUCCCCCGCCACCCCGCAUACUAGGCCCACAGUGAUCCUUCCAGACAGCACCUCUCUGUUUUGCUGUAUCCUGAAUAUAUAGAAUGGCUCUUAUCUGAAUUCUGUAUCUACAGGGAUAGAAUGUAACCCAUUUCUGUUCUUCCACAGGGGAAUCUCCCAUCUGAUAGGAACUCACAGAUUAUUUGAUGUAUUUUUUUUUUUAUUUUAUUUUAUGCUGCAACUGCAACGCGAACCGAGAUGCCAACCUACUGUGUCUCCACCUUUGUUUCCACAAAGUGUCUUUGUUUUCAAAAUCCUGCUUUUCGGUCCUCAGGUCCAUCUUUGUUUCCACAGAGUCUUGUUUUCAAGAUCCUUAGGUCAGAAGGUGGCGUGGGCCGCCAGCCUCUCUCAGCCUCCCAUGUAUUGGGAGAAGUGGAAGGAUGUGUCACCCACGCACUGAAGUUUGCUUGUGUUUUUUUCCAGUCCUGGGCAGAGACCUGGGUGAGCCAGCAUGUUGGUCAGAGCCAGCUGGCCUGUAGGCCACAGUGUUGAACAGGCCCUGCCAUUGAUUGAUGUGGUUCAGCAAUCCACUGUGGAUGGGUCUCCAUGGUCGGGAUCUUGCUCAUUUGCUUGAGUUUGAAUAAGCCCAAUUUAAUGGCCCUUUAAGUUGGAUAAAUAUCAUGGUGGAGACAAAAAAAAAAAGUGUAUGUGGAGUAGGAUCUUAAGAUAUUCAUAAAUUGCAGGUCUCUUUUAGUUUCAUGUUUUUUAAGUGGUUUGGCUCCCCUGCCUGAGUGAAGUCUGACUUAGUGCCCUUCCCCCAUUUAAAAUAAACAAAAGUUGGGUUCUAACAGCUGAUUAAAAGAAUGUCCUCAAAGAUCCUCCUGUCUUCUCAUUCCCCAGGUACUUAGUAAGUGCUUCUGUUGCCAGGGACUCUACCAGCUGCUGAGGAGGCAUUUCUAUACCAGGAGGUCCAAUGGCUCCCAGCUUCUAGCCAUUUCUAUCUUAAACAGAGUCUGAACCAGAGCCUGUGUGAAGAGUAGGAAAACGAGGACACUGUGUAGCUUGUUUUCUGACCUUUGAACUUAGUAUCUUCCCAGCUUCUGAAUACAAACUCAGCCUUUAAAAAGUAUCUAUUUCUCAGCAAAGACAAAAGAACAACCCCUAGCCCAUGAAUUGCCCUCCCUCUGCAGAAGCAUUCCCUCUUCUCAGUCAUUCCUUGCAUCUUACAGUUGGCCUGUCCUUCCUCACUGUUCACUCUGGGUAGUGAUCCAUGUAGGUUUUGUUUUUGUUUUUGUUUUAUGAUUGAGCCUUUGGUUCUCAGGGGCAGGCUUGGUGUCUUCCACUUGGCUUUUAAGGCAGUGGGUACCAUGUAGGCAUUCAUGUUUCCUGAGUCUCAGAUCUAAAGCUCCUCCAUGAUGCCAGCUAGGCAUGAUUCCUAGGCUGUUGAAGACGUCAUAGCAAAAUCAGAGUUAGCACAUUUAUGAGGUUUUCAGCAGCAACAUUUGGAUUCUGUAUCAUUGAUUUAGAUAACUGUUUGUGAUUCUUAGGCAUCAGACCCUACAGUGCUUUAAUGUUGCACCCAGGAUACAGAGCGCUGCAUCGUGGUGUGGUUUGGUAGAGGUUUCAGGAACUAGAAGUCAGGAGAAUCAGCCAUGGAGUCUUUUCUACCUGCCCCUGAGGCUCGAGAUGGGAUUCCUGCCUUCAUGUGUUCCCUCGCUGGUAAAGUUAUAAACUUACAGAGAUGGUUGUAGAAGAGAUGUGGAGAGUUCCUUACCCUGUGUCUGCCCAUAGUUGGGACUUGCAGAAGAUGGACCUCAUCUUCAUUAGUACUGGAAGCUCAAAUUAAAGACUGACCCUACUUGACUACAGUAGAGGUAUGAUUUCUGUGGUCUACUUUCUACAGUCACUGUCUCUUUGCCUAGACAUUGGUUGGAAUAUCACGGAAGCAUCCUUCAGACUGGUUCUUGUUUGUUUUCAUUGAGAAUGAGAAACUAUUUUGGCAGGUAUGUUGUCAUUAGAAACAUCUUUUUUUUUUUUCUUGAUACACCUUUUAAGAUUUGUGGAUAUUCUUAGCACCACACAUAGGACAUUGUAUGACUUAAGACAAUUAAAUAUAUCUCAUAGUGUUUUCAACUCAGCUAGUUUGUAUGUAGAAGAGGAUAGAAUAUAAUUGUAUUUCUAGGCCAUGGCUUGCACAGAACUAUGCUAGGGAUAACACAUAUAAAGUGAUAGAGCUUCAGGUAAUAUCUGUAAAAUAUAGCCCAGGCUGAUGUGCUCCUCUCCUCUUGGAUAGCUGUUCCUCUUCUGCUGGUUCACUGGCCUUGGACUCUCUCUCUCACUGCUCUCUUUUAUAUCCAUUCUGGAACAUGUCUGAGCAUGGCGACCUGCAGGAAGAUGUUCAUUGUCACCAGGAGCCUGUCUAAUCCACAUGCCCCAUCAAGAUCUACAGGUGAUUUGCGGACAUUUAUCUGAAGAGCAGCAGGAUGCUGUCUGACUACGUGAACUUUUUUCCCCAUAGAACUCUCAAGCAAGAGGGUCUGAGGAGAUGGCUUGGUUUGCAAAGAGCUUGAUGUGCAAGCAUGGAGUUUGAUCCCCAAGAACCCUGCUUUAAACAGCCUGGAAUGGUAGAGAGUGCUUGUCUUCUCAGUGCUGGGAAGAUGGGACUCAGCUAGCAAGGCCAAGUAGGAGUCCCAGUCUCAAAAAACAAAGGCGCCUGAGGAAUUAUGCCAGAGAUUGGCCUAUGGAGUCUGCAUGCGUGUAUGAACUUAGGCAGGCAUCCACGGGAAGUAAAUUAAAAGAAAUAAGUGUAAACCAAGGUGAUGGUUAUAGAUUGGAAAUUUUAUAUUUUCUCGGAUACUUUUGCUUGCUUCUUUCUUCUAGAGUAAUGUCAUUGCUGUUACCUACGAUUUCCAAUCCCCUUAAUGUGUUAUCUUUGAGUUGAUAGAAGGCCAUGAAAUAUGGCUGAAGCCAGUGCGUGAGUUCACGUUUCCUAUAGCUUAUCACCAUUAACAUGCCCGAGACUGGAAGCGGCUCAGGAAGAUGCUCCAUGUCCCUUGGUGACUGCACACUGCCUUCAAAAGUUGGACCAGCCUGAUGAAGUAUUUCAAAAGAAGAUGAUGCAUGCAUGAUGAAAUGGGAAGCGAAGGCUGCAUCAGCGGGGCUUAGCAGCCUCCUUAGCGGGUCUGAUGGAAGUACUCCAUCAGCAGUUGUGAGGCAGUUGGGGCCCCGAAUCUUCAAAGAACCCCACAAAUCUGUUUUUGUUUAAGAGACAUGUGGUUGGUAGUAAUCUUGCCAUUCUGAGAGAAGGCUUUGGGCAGUGGCUUGGUGACAUCAUGCCAUUUGGGCAAGACAAGAGUUGAGCCAGCCUUUCUUCGGGCAGGACAUCUUGAGGGCAACGGCCUUUCUAUUUCUAGAGCAAAGCACAUACUCUGCAGGUGUCCCUGUCCCUAGGCAGCUGGUGAGCAACUUUUCAUAUUGUGGUUGUCCUGAAACAGGAUGGACUGUAAUUUAUUGUCAUGUGCUGGGGAGCUGGCCCUCAGAUAAUGAAUGCUUCUUUGGAAAAAUGUCAACGUGUAUAAAUUCAAGAUUAUUUAGGAAA